rnacentral:tmRNA from 1 species
UUCAUUGCCAAUUAAGCCAUUCGCGCCUAUAUCGAGCGUGCCGGUUUCGGCCGGCUAUGGUGAUAAAUUGCAGUGUGCAAUAGGUACAACGGACCCGGGGGCAGUACCCGGCGGCUCCACCACCGGCGGCGCUAAACGCCUUCGAUGACGGGGCCGAACCAGGAUCGACGUGUUCCGAAAAGCACUGUUUUUGCCCGCAUUGAGUAUUGCGUAAAAGACUCGUUUCACAAGUGCCAACGAUAACGAAGCACUCGCAGUCGCAGCGUAACCUGACGGCCUAACGGCCUGAUCUUACAAAGCUAAUGCGCGGUUGGACCCACCGGGCAACAGAAGCGGAUUCCG